GGGGGGAGCAAGCGUUGUUCGGAUUCAUUGGGCGUAAAGGGCUCGUAGGUGGCUUUGUAAGUCGGAGGUGAAAUCCCACGGCUCAACCGUGGACACGCCUUCGAAACUGUGAAGCUUGAGGCUGGGAGAGGAAAUCGGAAUUCCUGGUGUAGCGGUGAAAUGCGUAGAUAUCAGGAGGAACACCGGUGGCGAAGGCGGAUUUCUGGACCAGUUCUGACACUGAUGAGCGAAAGCCAGGGGAGCAAACAGGAUUAGAUACCCUGGUAGUCCUGGCUGUAAACGAUGGGCACUAGGUGUGGGAGGAUCGACCCCUUCCGUGCCGCAGUUAACGCAUUAAGUGCCCCGCCUGGGGAGUACGACCGCAAGGUUG
rnacentral:rRNA from 1 species